rnacentral:piRNA from 2 species
UAGUCUUUUGUUGCAAGUGUUCAAGGAC